UACGUAGGGGGCAAGCGUUGUCCGGAUUUAUUGGGCGUAAAGGGCGCGUAGGCGGCUUAACAAGUCACUUGUGAAAUCUCCGGGCUUAACUCGGAACGGCCAAGUGAAACUGUCAAGCUAGAGUGCAGAAGGGGCAAUCGGAAUUCUUGGUGUAGCGGUGAAAUGCGUAGAUAUCGGGAGGAACACCUGUGGCGAAAGCGGCUCUCUGGACCACAACUGACGCUGAGGCGCGAAAGCUAGGGGAGCAAACAGGG
rnacentral:rRNA from 1 species